rnacentral:rRNA from 1 species
UGCGAGUGAGCGGGAAGAGCUCAAAUUUCGAAUCUGGCGGUCUUGCGCCGUCCGAGUUGUAAUCUAGAGAAGCGUUUUCCGCGCUGGACCGUGUACAAGUCUCCUGGAAGGGAGCGUCAUAGAGGGUGAGAAUCCCGUCUCUGACACGGACGACCAGUGCUGUGUGAUGCGCUCUCGACGAGUCGAGUUGUUUGGGAAUGCAGCUCUAAUUGGGUGGUAAAUUCCAUCUAAAGCUAAAUACAGGCGAGAGACCGAUAGCGAACAAGUACCGUGAGGGAAAGAUGAAAAGAACUUUGGAAAGAGAGUUAAACAGUACGUGAAAUUGCUGAAAGGGAAACGCUUGAUGUCAGUCGCGUCUGCUGGGGAUCAACCUUGCGUUUGCUGGGUGUACUUCCUGGUCGACGGGUCAGCAUCAGUUUUCGUCGUCAUACAAGGGCGAASGGAACGUGGCACUCUUCGGGGUGUGUUAUAGCCUUUCGUCGUAUGUGACGGUGGGGACUGAGGAACUCAGCACGGGCGACCUGUGCU